rnacentral:misc_RNA from 1 species
AAGUCGUAACAAGGUUUCCGUAGGUGAACCUGUGGAAGGAUCAUUAUCGAGUUUUUGAACGGGUUGUUUGCUGACUUGCAAGAGUAUGUGCACGCCUGGCUCAUCCACACUCAACUUCUGUGCACUUUUCAUAGGCCGGCUUGUAGGUGGUGCGUUUGCGCACGCCUGUAGGCUUCGGCUUAUGCUUUACUACACACGAUUCAGUUCUAGAAUGUCUUACUUUGCGAUAACGCAAUUAUAUACAACUUUCAGCAACGGAUCUCUUGGCUCUC